rnacentral:tRNA from 1 species
GGUCCCGUAGCUCAGCUGGAUAGAGCACUUCCCUCCUAAGGAAGGGGUCAUGAGUUCGAAUCUCGUCGGGGUCA